rnacentral:rRNA from 2 species
CACGAAGGUUGGCUAAUCCUGGUCGGACAUCAGGAGGUUAGUGCAAUGGCAUAAGCCAGCUUGACUGCGAGCGUGACGGCGCGAGCAGGUGCGAAAGCAGGUCAUAGUGAUCCGGUGGUUCUGAAUGGAAGGGCCAUCGCUCAACGGAUAAAAGGUACUCCGGGGAUAACAGGCUGAUACCGCCCAAGAGUUCAUAUCGACGGCGGUGUUUGGCACCUCGAUGUCGGCUCAUCACAUCCUGGGGCUGAAGUAGGUCCCAAGGGUAUGGCUGUUCGCCAUUUAAAGUGGUACGCGAGCUGGGUUUAGAACGUCGUGAGACAGUUCGGUCCCUAUCUGCCGUGGGCGCUGGAGAACUGAGGGGGGCUGCUCCUAGUACGAGAGGACCGGAGUGGACGCAUCACUGGUGUUCGGGUUGUCAUGCCAAUGGCACUGCCCGGUAGCUAAAUGCGGAAGAGAUAAGUGCUGAAAGCAUCUAAGCACGAAACUUGCCCCGA